GUUCUUAUAGUUGAAUGACAACGGUGGUUCUUCAAGUCACCAGUCUUGGUUAAAAUCCAAGUAAGAAUU
rnacentral:tRNA from 1 species